UACAGAGGUCUCAAGCGUUGUCCGGAAUCAUUGGGCGUAAAGCGCGCGUAGGCGGCCCUGUAAGUCCGUUGUGAAAGUCAAAGGCUCAACCUUUGAAAGCCGAUGGAUACUGCAGGGCUAGAGUCCGGAAGAGGCGAGUGGAAUUCCUGGUGUAGCGGUGGAAUGCGCAGAUAUCAGGAGGAACACCAAUAGCGAAGGCAGCUCGCUGGGACGGUACUGACGCUAAGGCGCGAAAGCGUGGGGAGCGAACAGG
rnacentral:rRNA from 1 species